rnacentral:tRNA from 2 species
AUGAUUGCAAGAGCAAAAUUAGAACAUUAUGAUCUGGAAAAGGUUUCAAAAGAAAUUGACAAAAUUUAUAAUCA